rnacentral:siRNA from 1 species
UGCCACUCGACCACUUCACUCGA